rnacentral:tRNA from 1 species
GGUUGUGGCUCAGUGGUAGAGCGCUUGCCUAGCAUGUAUGAGGCACUGGGUUCGAUUCUCAGCACCA